rnacentral:rRNA from 1 species
UUGCUGCUUUGCUGACGAGUGGCGGACGGGUGAGUAAUGUCUGGGAAACUGCCUGAUGGAGGGGGAUAACUACUGGAAACGGUAGCUAAUACCGCAUAACGUCGCAAGACCAAAGAGGGGGACCUUCGGGCCUCUUGCCAUCGGAUGUGCCCAGAUGGGAUUAGCUAGUAGGUGGGGUAACGGCUCACCUAGGCGACGAUCCCUAGCUGGUCUGAGAGGAUGACCAGCCACACUGGAACUGAGACACGGUCCAGACUCCUACGGGAGGCAGCAGUGGGGAAUAUUGCACAAUGGGCGCAAGCCUGAUGCAGCCAUGCCGCGUGUAUGAAGAAGGCCUUCGGGUUGUAAAGUACUUUCAGCGGGGAGGAAGGCGUUGAGGUUAAUAACCUCGUCGAUUGACGUUACCCGCAGAAGAAGCACCGGCUAACUCCGUGCCAGCAGCCGCGGUAAUACGGAGGGUGCAAGCGUUAAUCGGAAUUACUGGGCGUAAAGCGCACGCAGGCGGUCUGUCAAGUCGGAUGUGAAAUCCCCGGGCUCAAC